rnacentral:rRNA from 1 species
UACGUAGGGUGCGAGCGUUGUCCGGAAUUAUUGGGCGUAAAGAGCUCGUAGGCGGCUUGGUAAGUCGGGUGUGAAACCUCCAGGCUCAACCUGGAGACGCCACUCGAUACUGCUAUGGCUAGAGUCCGGUAGGGGAGCGUGGAAUUCCUGGUGUAGCGGUGAAAAUGCGCAGAUAUCAGGAGGAACACCAGCGGCGAAGGCGGCGCUCUGGGCCGGAACUGACGCUGAGGAGCGAAAGCGUGGGGAGCGAACAGG